GUCUACGGCCAUACCACCCUGAAUGCGCCCGAUCUUGUCUGAUCUUGGAAGCUAAGCAGGGUCGGGCCUGGUUAGUACUUGGAUGGGAGAAAUAUAUGUACAUGUGCAUAUGUAUACA
rnacentral:rRNA from 1 species